GAUGAGUAAGCACGUAAGACGUAGUCGCUGCCGUUUCCUUCCGAACUUUACGCAUUCCUAAGUUAAUCAGAGUUAAUUGAAAACAUGAAUGCGACGUGAUUAACGUGUACGGAAAUUGUCUUGAGCAGCGGGAGCGUAGACUUAUCAGGUCUGGCAGAGAUUGCAGCUACACGCGGAUGCUGUUUCGGGGCUGCAGUUAACGACAAUUACAGAUGCAGCACCAGAGGAUUCGAGCCUAGCAGAGUCGUCUCUACGACUUCUAUUCGUGGUGGAAUUUGUCGCGAAGAUAGUUGCAGUUUUAGUGGAUAUGGAAGCACGGUACUGAAGGAUGUGAUACGAGACUAGCUGAGUCGUCUUGAAUUGUUCUGUUUGUGUGCGAAGGAAUUUGUACUAAGAGUCGUAGUUUCGGCGAAUACGGAAACAGUGCCGGAGGGUAUGGUACGUGUCUAGCUGAGUUGUCUAGAGAAUUCUUUUGUUUCGAUGAAGUUUGCGACCACAUUGCCAGGACAGUCGCAGUCUCAGCCGAUGCGGAAGCAGCACUGGAGGAUCCGGUUUGGGUCAAGCAGAGUCGGCUCGAAGAUAUAGGUAGCAAAACGUGGCCGGCUCUGAGCUCCAGGUGAUUCG